GACGUAGGGCGCGAGCGUUGUCCGGAUUUAUUGGGCGUAAAGAGCUCGUAGGCGGCUUGUCGCGUCGUCCGUGAAAACCUGGGGCUCAACCCCAGGCUUGCGGUCGAUACGGGCAGGCUCGAGUUCGGUAGGGGAGACUGGAAUUCCCGUGUAGCGGUGGAAUGCGUAGAGAUCGGGAAGAACACCGGUGGCGAAGGCGGGUCUCUGGGCCGAUACUGACGCUGAGGAGCGAAAGCGUGGGGAGCGAACAGG
rnacentral:rRNA from 1 species